UUUGAUCCUGGCUCAGGAUGAACGCUGGCGGUCUGCUUAACACAUGCAAGUCGAACGGAGUGCUUCGGCACUUAGUGGCGGACGGGUGAGUAACGCGUGAGAAUCUGCCCUUAGGACGGGGACAACAGCUGGAAACGGCUGCUAAUACCCGAUGUGCCGAGAGGUGAAACAUUUUAUGGCCUGAGGAUGAGCUCGCGUCUGAUUAGCUAGUUGGUGGGGUAAGAGCCUACCAAGGCGACGAUCAGUAGCUGGUCUGAGAGGAUGAUCAGCCACACUGGGACUGAGACACGGCCCAGACUCCUACGGGAGGCAGCAGUGGGGAAUUUUCCGCAAUGGGCGCAAGCCUGACGGAGCAAGACCGCGUGCGGGAGGACGGCCUAUUGGUUGUAAACCGCUUUUGAUAGGGAAGAAGUACUGACGGUACCUAUCGAAUCAGCAUCGGCUAACUCCGUGCCAGCAGCCGCGGUAAUACGGAGGAUGCAAGCGUUAUCCGGAAUUAUUGGGCGUAAAGCGUCCGUAGGUGGUUGUUCAAGUCUGCUGUUAAAGCGUGCGGCUUAACCGCAUACCAGCAGUGGAAACUGGACGACUAGAGUGCGGUAGGGGUCAGGGGAAUUCCCAGUGUAGCGGUGAAAUGCGUAGAUAUUGGGAAGAACACCGGUGGCGAAAGCGCCUGACUGGACCUGCACUGACAAUGAGGGACGAAAGCUAGGGGAGCGAAAGGGAUUAGAUACCCCUGUAGGCCUAGCCGUAAACGAUGGACACUAGGUGUUGCCCGUAUCGACCCGGGCAGUGCCGUAGCCAACGCGUUAAGUGUCCCGCCUGGGGAGCACGCUCGCAAGAGUGAAACUCAAAGGAAUUGANGGGGCCCGCACAAGCGGUGGAGUAUGUGGUUUAAUUCGAUGCAACGCGAAGAACCUUACC
rnacentral:rRNA from 1 species